rnacentral:rRNA from 1 species
GGUUAAGCGACUAAGCGUACACGGUGGAUGCCCUGGCAGUCAGAGGCGAUGAAGGACGUGCUAAUCUGCGAUAAGCGUCGGUAAGGUGAUAUGAACCGUUAUAACCGGCGAUUUCCGAAUGGGGAAACCCAGUGUGAUUCGUCACACUAUCAUUAACUGAAUCCAUAGGUUAAUGAGGCGAACCGGGGGAACUGAAACAUCUAAGUACCCCGAGGAAAAGAAAUCAACCGAGAUUCCCCCAGUAGCGGCGAGCGAACGGGGAGCAGCCCAGAGCCUGAAUCAGUGUGUGUGUUAGUGGAAGCGUCUGGAAAGGCGCGCGAUACAGGGUGACAGCCCCGUACACAAAAAUGCACAUAUUGUGAGCUCGAUGAGUAGGGCGGGACACGUGGUAUCCUGUCUGAAUAUGGGGGGACCAUCCUCCAAGGCUAAAUACU